rnacentral:lncRNA from 1 species
GAGGGAUCCUCUCUACUUGGAUGAAGAAUUGAAACCCUAACUUUGGUUCUAUAGAAGAGGUAUGAUCUCUAGGGGCCAGGGGGUCUGGUUUUAUAGUCCCUUCAAGUGAAUCUGGGCCGUCGGAUCAAACCGACAUUGAUCGUGUGGUUUUCCUUGAAGUAUUAGGUCAGUGGAGUGUUGUCCCCGAAUUGGACUCUGUUUGGUCCAGGGGGGAGGGCGGGCGCCCAGUAAGGGAGGGCGGGCGCCCAGUAAGGGAGGGCGGGCGCCCAGUGCCCGGCUCCGUUACGUCUCCCGUUCGCUCACGUGGCUUCUGGACUCUUCUAGAUGGUAGAUAAUUGUGCGCCACGUUAAUAUCUCUAUGUAAACCCGACGUGUGGGCCUUUCUUCCGUAUUUCCUGAUAACCCCCUGUAGAAAUAGACGAACACCAAAACUUGUGGAAUUCUGUCAGAUAAAAUCCUAAGUCUAGGUGUUGGUUCAAUUUCGAUCCUUUUCUAUGAUCAGUUGAUUGUUAAUUGUGAGCAUUAAGGACCGUCAACAAGCUCCCCCAAGCUUAACCUUUGCUCGUCCCUGAGCAAAGAUGAACUCAAGAGUUUCUGCAGUGGUUUCAUAACUUAAAGAUACACAUGCGUUUAAACAAGAUCUCAUCUCUGGUUAGAGUAAACUGUUAAGAUUUAAACUUACUCAUUUUACCUUCCACCAUGGGGCUUGCAACCGUCACUUGUGUCUUGAGCAGUUAAAAGAUAGAACGGUCUAGUCAAGCGCCAUGUCUCUUGUUCUUCGAUUAACUAUAGCUCUGGAGUUUUUGCAGAUUUUCAAAUAAAACUCAGAGAUUCCUUGUAUGACUCUCUCUAGUGUCUAUUUUGUGGUAUUUCAGGAUCCUUACCAAGGCAGUGAUGGUAUAUGCCUUCUCUCAAAGUAUGUGGUAUUUGUGGUAUAAGACAUAGUGGCAUUGCCUUUUCUCUCACCCUACUCUAAUAAGGUUUUGAUAUCUGGAGCUCAUAGGUGGGAGAUAGCUAAUACAUACUUACAAGACAUUUAUUGCAUAGUCAAACCAUGGAUCCAGAAGAACAAGUCAAUAAGUCAAAUCAAGAUGUGCAUGUGUGGCGAAUGAAUGAUGCAUGGUAAUGAUGGUGAUAACAAUGGUGAAAGUCUAAUUCUACUUAUGCUCUUUUGAGGGGAUACAUACCUUUCUUGCUCUUUUGAAACUUUUUGAGGAGAAUGAGAUGCUCUAUAUUUUCUUUUUUCUUUUCUCUCAGGUGGGUAUCUUGUACCCCUAAUUCUACUGUCGGACAUUUGUCCAUUUUUACCUCUCGUCUCACUUUUUUUUCUUUUCUUUCGAGGUUCCGGGCACUUGCCCCUUUUUAUUUCCUCGUAUUUAUUUUUUUUCCCUCUUUUUUUUUAUUAGAGCACUCAUCUCAUGAGAUAAUAUAGCAAGUGGUAGUAACAAGAUAACUUGAGCAUUUAUUUCACAGGGAAAAACAUAAAUAGGAGAAUAUUUUUGGCUAUUCUCUCCCGGAUUAGGAGUAGAAUAUUUUUGGGUGGUUCUGGAGAUGGAAAUGGAUGGAUAUAUGUGGAUGGUACUUCUGGAGUAGAAGUAGCACGUGUGAGUGAACGUGCAAGUGAAUCUUGAUUUAACCACAUGACAAACUCCUAAGGGUCUACACAGCUUGACCACACUCAAUGCUCAUAAGCAGUAAAAAGUAAAUGUGUGGUUCAUAGUCUAACAAGCAUGUAUAUAUGGCUGUGGUAGGAAUUUAAACUCUCAUCAUACAGGAACUCAUCAUGCAACAUUUUAAAGAUUUUCAAAGAUAAAAUUCUCUAGAAUUCUAGCAUCUCUAGGAACAGAUAAACAGCAGCUCAACCUUCCCAUAUCAUAUCCGUUAACGACUUAGACUUCAGAUCAAGUACUCUCCCCACAAGUUCAGGUUUAGAGCAAAUCUUAAUUAAUACCAGUCAUGCCUAAACUAGAGAGAGAUUUCAAUUUUGAGAACUAGCCAUGGCAGAGCAACUAUUCAUCAUUUCCAUGUGAGAGCUUAUCAUGAGGAUUCAUGGCAAACUUUAUUUAUUUAUUUAUUUAGCAAACUAAGCAAAGAUAUAUAUAAGCACAAAAUCUUUAUUUGGGUUUUUAUGAUUAUGCAUCUUUUUAUUAUUAGAGUAGAGUAUAAACGUGAGUAGAAUACUUAGCUGGAUAAAUGGGGGUGCUCUCCCCCAAGCUGGAUUUUGACGUAAUUCCUUUUGAUGUAGCUAGCCAGUGGUGGAGGUGUAUUUGAAUGUCGGCAGCACCCUGAUGACGAUUAGGAUGUCCUUCGUCUACUAGUCUUCUUUGAUCCUUGAAUUCUGUGGAGCUCAAAUAAACAACAAAGCUUUGUAGAACUAGUUAAGUGUUAGCAUAUAUAUCUAGCCUUUAUCAUGUUGAGCCUCCUCAAUAAAUGUUACUCAUUAGUAGGAUCAUAAUUUUAUUUUUAUAAUUUUAUUUUUAUAGGACAUGAAUAUACUUAUUUCAUUUUUACGCAACCACAGUGGAUGUACUUAUGGGUUUUAUGCCAUGAUCAUACUCACAUGGGGCUUACUAUUUUUAACAUUUUUAUUUUCUUUUCAAGAUGAUAUGAACCUGCUUAACUAAGCAAACUAUUUUAAAUAGUUGAAAGGAAAAAGAUAACUACCAAGUUUACCUCUUGGCAAGGCGUUCGGUGUUUUUAAGUCCUCCGAAUGGGACUCUCCAUUUUCUCAGUCAUCCUGGGAUUCGCUGGAUGCGUAGUCGGUGGUUCCGGUGGAGCCUCCUCUUCGUGUAUAACAAUCUUCUCUCUACACACCUGACUCGGUGCUACGGUCUCCUUAGGACAGUUCUGUUCAAGUUGUAUGUCUUCAGAUAUUACCACUUCUUCUUCGUAGUCUGCCCAUCCGUCCUUUAUGAUUUUCCUCCUCUGGUUACGGUUGCGUCGUCUUCUUCUUGUCCUGACCUGCUUAGAGUCUUCAACUAUAUAGUUAGAGUCAGUAAAACAGUGGCGUAACUUCUCUGAGGGGAAGUUCAUGUGGACUUCUCCGGUUCCAAUGUAGAUGAUUAUUUUAACAGUGCUGAGGAACUGUCUCCCAAGGAUGAUGGGUGGAUCGUGCUCGUCUUUUCCCAUGUCAAUAACCAUUCAGAAUGUCUGAUCUGCCAUCUGAAGUUGAAUGUAUGUCGGUUUAGGGGCAUGGUUCUGAAUAGGAGCUGAUAGGUGACUAGCGGCCAUUAUGUUGAUGCCUGACCCGGUGUCGCAAAGCGUCUUCUAGAAGUUGUAUCCAUUAAUGGAGCACUGGAUGCUUGGCAUGCCUGGUCGUCCUUUUUGGUCAGGAACGGUGACUUAAAUAGAUGAUCUUGACCUCCUUGAACUGCAGUGACCAUCUUAGCUGACUCGGUCCACACUUGCUUGUUCCUGUUCCUCCUGUUGGUCCUCUUCCUUGGUUCAUGUCGGGAAUGCUCUGAGAUUUGUGUAGUCUUGUUCUUGAAGGAAAACGUCUCCUUCCUCCCCUUGAUGUAGAAACUGAUCUUGGCAGCACUAGCGUAGAUGACAGCUCCUGAGGUGUUCAGGAAUGGCCUCCCUAGGAUGGAUGCCCUCUCAUCAGUACCAGUCUCUAUCACCACGAAGUCUGCUGGGGCGUACAAGGUACCAACUCAGACGAAGAGGUUGUUCAAUAUUCUCUUUGGGAAACUUAGCGUACGAUCUGCAAGCUGCAAACACAUGGUUGUUUCUAGGAAAGGAUGUGUAAAGAAUUUUUCAUAGAGUACCCUGAGCAUAAUGUUGACGCUGGAGCCAAAGUUGCAGAGUGCUUCUAGGAAGUCCACCAUGCCGAUGGAGAUCGGGAUGACGGGACGUCCUGGAUUGUAUCUCUUGACCAGCAGAAGGUCAGUAAUUACUUCCACAACGGGGUUACUCCAGUAGUUACGUCCUCAAGCAUCUCAGGGCAGUGAUUGCCUGAGUGUCCAGUAUCUCCAGUGUGUUUGUGCUCGUAGAUCUAGGUUCUUCACUUGGUGGAGUCUGGGAGUUGUAAAAGUCCGUCAUAUUUUGCUUGAAGUGUACCUGCUCAUAGAGACAAGGCAGAGAUCAAGUGCAUGGGCCCUGUUGGUGGAAAACACCAACAGAACCAAAAGUGUAUUUGUUCUCUCUAACCUUAAGAAUAGUGAGCAAGACAAAGUUGAUGGAUAAUAAGAUCAUGAGUGUAGCAUUUAAAACAUUUGUCAGAUCAGAUCACUCAAUCUAAUGGAAAGAUAAUCUAUCUAUAUUUAUGUUUUUUUAUCUUCCAAAGGUUGAGUGUGCAACAUUAUAGCUCAUAUUAGGAGUAUAGGAUCACCAAAAGUGGAAGGACUAAACAUGUGGAAUCGAUCGGGUUGGUUAAUCUAGAGUUGUAAACCAUACAUGUUUGUCUCUUUUAUUCAUGUGAACGCCAGAACCAAGGAGAAGCUUAUAGAAGUGAUAGUCAAGUACCUUAAGAUGUUACCUUACUUGAAGAGUGAUGGUACAGUAUCACCUUAUGGAAGCUUUCCUUUCUUAGCGGUUGUGCAUCGUUUUUGUGGCACCCUCCAUGGAUCAUCUCUUAUGCCUUCCUUGUGUAAAUUGUUAAACUUCAUGUGUCUCUCUCUUUGUCUCUAAUGUGAGUUUAUCUCAGGACUUCCCAGGUCGAUAUUGAAAGUUUUCCUGCAGGGGUUAGUCCAACAAAAUAUCCAAUAUCUACUAUAGCAUACUAUCGGCUCAAAAAUCAAUCUAGACACCAUGUCUACUUUGAUUUAGGAGGGCAUUUUAACCUAAGCACCAUGCUUAAUUUAAAACCCCUUGGAAGUAAGAUCAUCAUUCCUAACUAAGCACCAAGCUUAAUUAAGAGAUAAAUGAAACUACUCCAAACCUAGACAUAUACUAAAGCAAAUAAAGGUAGCAUGAGAGCAUUUAUAGAGUUCUACUCAAGUGGAGAUGAAGUAGUGUGAUUAGUAUUUAACAAAUUGAGCAUGUCUCAAAGGUAGGGACAACCAACAUAACAACAUGGCAAAGGAUGUUCUUAUGUAAGUACUCCCCCAAGCUUGAAUUUUUCAAAAUUCAAGUUUGGAUGAAUUUAAUUCAAUGUUGUAUGAUAGUUGGUUGGACAUACCUUGUGCUUGGCAUUCAUCCGAUCUUCUUGCUCCAAUCCUGAAAAGGUUAGUGACAAGAAUACCCGAAGGAAUUUUCUACAAUUAUCCUUAUAUGCUCAAUACACAAGGUAAUGUUGCAAAUAAUUAAAAGCUCAUGUUACGAUCUGAUCAGUGCUUGUUUUAGGACACUAAGCUUGUCCUUGGGAAACCCUCAAUUUAUGUCGGCGAAGUGGUUUCCCCUCCAACGCUGACCUAUAUUAAGAUCAACUCAACGAGAUCUGCAAAAUUUAUUAUAGACAUAUGCAUCGACAACCGCCCUUUUAAAGUUUUCAUAAAUAGAAAGGAAGUGGGGGUUGGAGAUCUCGAAUGUGGUGAUGUUGGAGAGACCAAUGGAUUGUGAAGAUGUUGCAUAUGAGCAUGGAGUAAAUGAAGUGGCUAUGAAAUAAAUUCCAUGCUCAUUAAUGCUUAGAGUGAAAUCCAUGUGGUAUGGUGAAAAUGGUAAGGUGAGUGUGGUAAAAAAAAGAAAAGAAAAAGGAUACACGGACGACUUGGUUCGAAACUAGCAUAGCUACUGUUCCCCGGCAACGGCGCUAGAAAGCUUGUUGGGUAUUUUAAACGCAAACAGAAAAAUCCGCAAGCGCACGGAUACCGAUGUAGCUUUCACCCGGGAGUAUUCUAGAGUAUCGAUUUUCCACAGAGAACGUGAGUGCACUAAUUAAGAUCCAAGAUCGCCCAAGGAUAACUAUAUAAUUAUUUUUGGUGGGAAGAGAGGAAGUUUCCUGAGAGUUCUCUAGUUGAUCUAAGAAUCAAAAAUUAGUUCAAGAUUAUCUAUUUCGGGACAUCAGAACACUAACCACAGAAAGAGACGAGAAGGGGGCUAGGAAGGUCUGACUACGGUCCUACAAACACCGAUCCGAACAAGGUGGAAUACGUCGACCGUUAGGGCUGUCACUACCCUAAGGCUACCACAACAAUCCGCAGGAUUGGGUGCAAUUCUAUGUAAUUGCAAGACUAAACACCACGUCUAAUCUAUUAAUUACUACUCUAAUGUUUCAAAGAUUAGAGCACUUGAUGCAAGCAGGAAUCCAAUAAAUAACUUGAAUGUAAAUAAAAGUAAUUAGAGAACUCAGGAAUUAUGAAUUGAAGAACGUGGAGAACGAUGAAGAACGAACCAGUUGCUGCAAAAGUACAAUGUUGAGGAAGAUCCGACAGAUCCGGCUCCUCCUCCUCCGCUCUCCUCUUCUCUCUUCCUAUUUUCUAGAUUACAACUCGCACUAACUAGAACUAGAACUAGAGGAACUAGAACUAGAACUAGAUGAACUAGAACUAGAUCUAGAUGAACUAGAGGUAGAACUAGAAGAACUAGAGGGAUCCUCUCUACUUGGAUGAAGAAUUGAAACCCUAACUUUGAUUCUGUAGAAGAGGUAUGAUCUCCAGGGGCCAGGGGAUCUGGUUUUAUAGUCCCUUCAAGUGAAUCUGGGCCCUCGGAUCAAACCGACAUUGAUCGUGUGGUUUUCCUUGAAGUAUUAGGUCGGUGGAGUGUUGUCCCCGAAUUGGACUCUGUUUGGUCCAGGGGGGAGGGCGGGCGCCCAGUAAGGGAGGGCGGGCGCCCAGUGCCCGGCUCCGUUACGUCUCCCGUUCGCUCCCGUGGCUUCUGGACUCUUCUAGAUGGUAGAUAGUUGUGCGGCACGUUAAUAUCUCUAUGUAAACCCGACGUGUGGGCCUUUCUUCCGUAUUUCCUGAUAACCCCCUGCAGAAAUAGACAAACACCAAAACUUGUGGAAUUCUGUCAGAUAAAACCCUAAGUCUAGGUGUUGGUUGCAUUUCGAUCCUUUUCUAUGAUCAGUUGAUUGUUAAUUGUGAGCAUUAAGGACCGUCAACAAGCUCCCCCAAGCUUAACCUUUGCUCGUCCCUGAGCAAAGAUGAACUCAAGAGUUUCUGCAGUGGUUUCAUAACUUAAAGAUACACAUGCGUUUAAACAAGAUCUCAUCUCUGGUUAGAGUAAACUGUUAUGAUUUAAACUUACUCAUUUAAACUUCCACCAUGGGGCUUGCAACCGUCACUUGUGUCUUGAGCAGUUAAAAGGUAGAACGGUCUAGUCAAGCACCAUGUCUCUUGUUCUUCGAUUAACUAUAGCUCUGGAGUUUUUUUAGAUUUUCAAAUAAAACUCAGAGAUUCCUUGUAUGACUCUCUCUAGUCUCUAUUUUGUGGUAUUUCUAGAUCCUUACCAAGGCAGUGAUGUUAUAUGCCUUCUCUCAAAGUAUGUGGUAUUUGUGGUAUAAGACAUAGUGGCAUUGCCUUUUCUCUCACCCUACUCUAAUAAGGUUUUGAUAUCUGGAGCUCAUAGGUGGGAGACAGCUAAUACAUACUUACAAGACAUUUAUUGCAUAGUCAAACCAUGGAUCCAGAAGAACAAGUCAAUAAGUCAAAUCAAGAUGUGCAUGUGUGGCGAAUGAAUGAUGCAUGGUAAUGAUGGUGAUAACAAUGGUGAAAGUCUAAUUCUACUUAUGCUCUUUUGAGGGGAUACAUACCUUUCUUGCUCUUUUGAAACUUUUUGAGGAGAAUGAGAUGCUCUAUAUUUUCUUUUUUCUUUUCUCUCAGGUGGGUAUCUUGUACCCCUAAUUCUACUGUCGGACACUUGUCCAUUUUUACCUCUCGUCUCACUUUUUUUUCUUUUCUUUCGAGGUUCCGGGCACUUGCCCCUUUUUAUUUCCUUGUAUUUAUUUUUUUCUCUCUCUUUUUUUUUAUUAGAGCACUCAUCUCAUGAGAUAAUAUAGCAAGUGGUAGUAACAAGAUAACUUGAGCAUUUAUUUCACAGGGAAAAACAUAAAUAGGAGAAUAUUUUUGGCUAUUCUCUCCCGGAUUAGGAGUAGAAUAUUUUUGGGUGGUUCUGGAGAUGGAAAUGGAUGGAUAUAUGUGGAUGGUACUUCUGGAGUAGAAGUAGCAUGUGUGAGUGAACGUGCAAGUGAAUCUUGAUUUAACCACAUGACAAGCUCCUAAGGGUCUACACAGCUUGACCACACUCAAUGCUCAUAAGCAGUAAAAAGUAAAUGUGUGGUUCACAGUCUAACAAGCAUGUAUAUAUGGCUGUGGUAGGAAUUUAAACUCUCAUCAUACAAGAACUCAUCAUGCAACAUUUUAAAGAUUUUCAAAGAUAAAAUUCUCUAGAAUUCUAGCAUCUCUAGGAACAGAUAAACAGCAGCUCAACCUUCCCAUAUCAUAUCCGUUAACGACUUAGACUUCAGAUCAAGUACUCUCCCCACAAGUUCAGGUUUAGAGCAAAUCUUAAUUAAUACCAGUCAUGCCUAAACUAGAGAGAGAUUUCAAUUUUGAGAACUAGCCAUGGCAGAGCAACUAUUCAUCAUUUCCAUGUGAGAGCUUAUCAUGAGGGUUCAUAGCAAACUUUAUUUAUUUAUUUAUUUAGCAAACUAAGCAAAGAUAUAUAUAAGCACAAAAUCUUUAUUUGGAUUUUUAUGAUUAUGCAUCUUUUUAUUAUUAGAGUAAAGUAUAAACGUGAGUAGAAUACUUAGCUGGAUAAAUGGGGGUGCUCUCCCCCAAGCUGGAUUUUGACGU